CUGUGUUUAAGCUCAGAGUCAUAAGGAAAAUGAGCACUCAGACAAAGGAUUUCUCAGCAAGGCAAAUUUACUUCUGUACAGAGGGGUGCCCCUC